rnacentral:rRNA from 1 species
AGCAGUAGCCGCGGUAAUACGUAGGUGGCAAGCGUUGUCCGGAAUUAUUGGGCGUAAAGGGCUCGCAGGCGGUUCCUUAAGUCUGAUGUGAAAGCCCCCGGCUCAACCGGGGAGGGUCAUUGGAAACUGGAAACUUGAGUGCAGAAGAGGAGAGUGGAAUUCCACGUGUAGCGGUGAAAUGCGUAGAGGUGUGGAAGAACACCAGUGGCGAAGGCGACUCUCUGGUCUGUAACUGACGCUGAGGAGCGAAAGCGUGGGGAGCGAACAGGAUUAGAUACCCGCGUAGUCCCUGUCUCUUAUACA